GUGAAUCAUCGAAUUUUUGAACGCAAAUUGCACUCUCUUCGGCGAGUAUGCCUGUUUGAGGGUCAGCAUAUAAAAAUCGCUCUCGUUGUCGUCUCGCGGUGGCGUUUGUAGGAAAUUGGGUGCUCCUAACUCCUUUUGCUUUAAGCGACUUAAAAUUUUUUUUUGGUUCCAUGAACGUUUCUAAGUUCUAUAUCUUUACACGUUUCUGGUAUCGAUUUUUACUAGACGUGACUAUCAUAUCGGUUCGCGUCCAUAAUCUUUCAUUAACUGAUCUCAGACAGGUA
rnacentral:misc_RNA from 1 species